rnacentral:rRNA from 1 species
UUAAAAAGCUCGUAGUUGAAUUUCGGGAUUAGUACGUUGGUCGUGCCUUCGGUACGUACUGGUGUUACUGAUUCCUACCUUCUGACGAACCAUCAUGUCAUUAAUUUGGUGUGGCGGGGAAUCAGGACUGUUACUUUGAAAAAAUUAGAGUGUUUAAAGCAGGCUCGCGCUUGAAUACAUUAGCAUGGAAUAAUGAAAUAGGACGUUGACCCUAUUUUGUUGGUUUCUAGGAUUGACGUAAUGAUUAAUAGGGAUGGUUGGGGG